AUACGGGGGGUGCAAGCGUUGUCCGGGAUCAUUGGGCGUAAAGGGUUCGUAGGUGGAAUUAUAAGUCUGGUGUGAAAGCCCACAGCCCAACUGUGGAACUGCACUGGAUACUGUUUUUCUUGAGUUAUUGAGGGGUUUGUGGAAUUUCUGGUGUAGAGGUGAAAUUUGUAGAGAUCAGAAAGAACACCGGUGGCGAAGGCGACAAACUGGCUAUUAACUGACACUGAGGAACGAAAGCGUGGGGAGCGAACAGUAUUAGAAACCCCAGUAGUCC
rnacentral:rRNA from 1 species